UCACUAGUCACCCCCUCACUCUAGUGACAGAGUGAGGGAGGGGGUGACUAGUGACAGAGUGAGAGAGAGGGUGACACAGUGACAGAGUGAGGGAGGGGGUGACUAGUGACAGAGUGAAGGAGGUGGUGACUGUCACUAGUGACCCCCUCCCUCACUCUGUCACUAGUGACCCCCUCCCUCACUCUGUCACUAGUGACCCCCUCCCUCUCUCUGUCACUAGUCACCCCCUCCCUCUCUCUGUCACUAGUCACCCCCUCCCUCUCUCUGUCACUAGAGUGAGGGGGGUGACUAGU